CAGUCGCCACGGGAAUACAGAGGGUGCAAGCGUUAAUCGGAAUUACUGGGCGUAAAGCGCGCGUAGGUGGUUCGCCAAGUUGGAUGUGAAAUCCCCGGGCUCAACCUGGGAACUGCAUCCAAAACUGGCGAGCUAGAGUAUGGUAGAGGGUGGUGGAAUUUCCUGUGUAGCGGUGAAAUGCGUAGAUAUAGGAAGGAACAUCAGUGGCGAAGGCGACCACCUGGACUGAUACUGACACUGAGGUGCGAAAGCGUGGGGAGCAAACAGGAUUAGAUACCCGGGUAGUCCCUGUCUCUUAUAC
rnacentral:rRNA from 1 species